rnacentral:rRNA from 1 species
CGGGAUGAGCUCAAAUUUAAACAUCUGGCAGUCCUAAGGUUGUCCGAGUUGUAGUCUAGAGAAGCGUUUUCCGCGUAGGCCUGUGUACAAGUCCCUUGGAAUAGGGCGUCAUAGAGGGUGAGAAUCCCGUCCUUGACACAGAUCAUCUAUGCUUUGCGAUGCGCUCUCGAAGAGUCGAGUUGUUUGGGAAUGCAGCUCAAAAUGGGUGGUAAAUUCCAUCUAAAGCUAAAUACUGGCGAGAGACCGAUAGCGAACAAGUACCGUGAGGGAAAGAUGAAAAGCACUUUGGAAAGAGAGUUAAACAGUACGUGAAAUUGUUGAAAGGGAAACGAUUGAAGUCAGUCAUGUGGUUCGAGAUUCAGCCGGUUCUGCCGGUGUAUUUCUCGAGCUACAGGCCAGCAUCAGUUUCGACCGGUGGAAAAAGUUGGAGGGAACGUGGCAUCCUCGGAUGUGUUAUAGCCCUCUUUCACAUGCAUCGGACGGGACUGAGGAACGCAGCGUGCCUUUAUGGUCGGUCUUCGGACACGAACGCGCUUAGGAUGCUGGCAUAAUGGCUUUAAACGACCCGUC